rnacentral:sRNA from 1 species
CCGAUGGUCUGCAUUUCUAACCUUGUGCUAAGGUGUUCCCAACACUUUACACAUCUAGUCUUGUACACCUUGAUGUAGAUAGAUGCUCUUCUGAUGCCUCUCAUGCUGUUUCAUGGGCCACGCAUUGGAUACCAAGGUGAAGGAGAGUAGGAUUGAUGCUAGCAUUCACUCUUGCGGCUUGACUUGCAAGGGUUGAGGCUGAAGGCUCCCUUGUUCCCUGAGCUGUCUGUAGUGACCGUGUGCCUCUCUGUAGAGUCCUGUGGUCUCCAGAUGGCACAUCUGUUCUCUUUCUCCCUAGACUCCCUUCAGAAGCAGACCAUUUUGACAUGGCUCACUUGGUAUCUUUAGCACAGCCAAGGUGCAGAGCCCCAGUGCUGACCUGUUCCUGUCUUGUUUACUGAUUCUUAAUUCAGACAUUUUCCUUCAAGAAUAACAUUGUCUCAGCCUAGUUAGGUAUCCAAACUUGUCCAAGGUGCUUUGCUGAGAGGCCAACAAACAGGGCUUGAGGCCCACCAUCAAACAGGGUGAUGGGGAUACACAUUCUUGGACCAUUUGAGGAGCCAACUAGAGAGAUGCAGCUUUGGCAAACUUUUCCAAAUGGAUUGCAAACUCCUAAAACAACAUUUUGAAUUUUAGCAUACCCCUUGGUAUAUUUCCAUAAUGCAGAUUCAUUUUGGAUUAUUUAUGGAAAUAGAUGGUUGCACACUAUAAUCCUAUUUUUGCCUAAGGCCUCCAGGCCUCGGGGGAUGAUAAGCAAGGAUUUGGCAUGAAUCCCAAGCAUACCCCAGAGAGAAAGGACUAAGUAGGAUGUAGAAGGCAAGGCCUUGUGGGUUGAGCCAUCUCAACUGCAGAAGGGGCAGAAAGUGCCUGAGCUGUGUGUUUGUUCCUUGGUCCUUGCUAUGUCCAGGUGAAUUCCACUGUAAAGCUGGUGGCAGGGUGAGAGCCAAGGCACAAUGACCCAGCCAUGUGUUCUAAGGCAUGGGAGGGUGACUUAAAUCCAGGUGACAGUAAUGGGAUCCAGAAACAACGAAAAGUUAUGGCCCAUACAUCUUCCAUUGCAAUUACAGGUGAGGAAACAAUAUGCAAGUAUUCUAAAUGACUCAAGGUUAAACUCCCAGCCAGUGCCGAGCAUGCUGGUGUCCUGGCACCCAGGAUGAGGUGAAAAUGAGCUUUUCUGAAAAGGAGAGGGCCCGCAGGAAUACACACUUCCAAGCCUUUUGUUCUCAUAGAAGGAAGUUUGCAAAGCAGUGGUGGAGGACUCUCUGAAGAAGGGCAAACAGUCCCCAAGGGGGAGGAGCUGCACUGUCACCAGCAAUUAUUAACUCACUCCUCUGGAUCUGUCCUGGAGGCCUCCGUGCACAUGAACGGGAAGAGUGUUGGCAGCUGCUGGCUGGAGAAGCCUGAUCCAUCUCAAGGGGGGAAGGUGGGACUUCUCACAAGGUUGCUCCUGGACUCCCACCCUCACCCCUGCUCUUGGAAGAAAGGAUCUGUGCUUUCUUUCUAGCCUGGGCCCUGAAUACCUAGGAUGCAGUGUUUCAAGGAUGGUGGCAGGUCUCAGAAGGGACAGAAGCUAGGCCAGAAGACUGGCUGCUAUGAUGUGAUCACCAUGUACCUUUCGCAAGCCCCAAACCAACAGGGGAUUAAUGGGUCAUAAGCUGAACUCCUCAAAACUAAUUGGAAGUCGAAGGGGAAUACAGUCCACAUCUCCGACCUCUUGAACAGUGCAUUUAUUCAUCAGUCCCAUGAGAGAACCUGAAAGUCCAAGAAUAAAGAUGAAGACAAAUGCACCAAAAAGGAAAAUAAAAGAAAUACUAAAAGUAGGUGGGCUUGCCACCCUUUAAGGCUCUGAGGUCCUGGUCUUCAGGAAGCAGGCUCAGUCAGCAUCAUUUUCCCUGGGGACCAUAAGCUGCCAAGAAGCCCCGAGAGGAAGAGAGACUUCCGAUAUGAGCAGAUUACAGUCGACACUGGAAAGCCAUCUGACAAAGGGGAAGGCACCACAGAGACAGAGCUAUGUAAUUGGUUGUCAAUAUAUGUAUUUCAAAAUACAGUCUCCAGGUAUCCAACUUCCCAAGGAGAUAAAAAAGAAUCUUUCAGUGUGAAGGCUUGUUACAUCUCAAAGAAAGCAUGCUGGUACUUUGCAAGGACAGAGCAAGAAGGCAACAAUCCAGAGAGCUGUACAACAUAGGAUUUCUCUGACACCUUGUCCUGUCACAGCUCGGGGGGGCUUUAGAUUUUUGUCUUCUGUCUCUUCCUCUUUUGCAGCUUCCCAGGGUGAUGCAACCAAAUCCAUUGCUCGGAGUUUUCUGUGAGGCAGCAGCUGUGUAGUUUGGCCAGAUCCACUCUGCAGAGGAAAAUGAUGAUCUGAUUCUCCAUGUUGCCUCUGUCACUGAAAGAGGAUAAUAAUAAUAAUAAUAAGAAGAAACAUGUUUUUCUUCGCUCUUAGGGACUUGAGGCAGGAAAUUCAUUAGAUUUGACUAUGAGGUGUUUGAAGCACUGGCUGGGGGAGAGGCUGAGCACUGUUGGCAAAAUUAGGUUCUUGACCCACCCUGGAAAAAUGAGUGUUCCUCUGUCACCAGGGACUGGGUGGGAUGCCUCUAUUCUCCAGCGCUUGGUGGUGAAAACAGCUGUCAGUUUAACUGACUCACUCUGUGAAGACAUCAGAAAGGGAGACAAGAUGCCUCCCUGGCCAAAGCAAAAUGGGCCUCCUUUGGGAUUAUUGUCCUAGGCACUGGUGAGAAUAGAUGAGGACAUCAUGUCUGGGACCAGGCAGUCAGAUACUUGAAGCAGGAUAUCUACCUGGAGCCAAAACAGACAGGUACCCAAAGGCUUAGAAUAGUGACUUUCUUUUUUUCUAGCUCAGAAAUGGGAAAAACAUAUGGACCCUAGGGUUCCCAGUGUGUGGUGAAGACACCGUAAUGGCUUCUUUUGUAGGUGGCUGUCCCUUUUUCCAGAGCAGAGAGUGAUUUGAUAUUCCUACUGGGAAAAGCACAGACCAACCUUGACCCAAGAGUCUUUCACUCACUUAUUCACUUAGUAAGUAUUGAUUGGGCAUCAACAAUUAGCCACUGUUCUGAGAAGGCAGAAACAGACUGAGACAGUUAAAGACCUCAUUCCCAAGGUAUAGCCAGUUUAGCUGGAAAAGCAAGCAACCAUCAAGCAAAUAAUUUCCCCUUCACCCUCACCAGCAUGUGAACUCUAUCAGAGCAGAUUUUCUCUCUCUCUAUUUUUUUUUUUAAGAUCCGUUUUGUUCACUACUAUAUUCCUAGGACCUAGACUCGGUACUGAAUGUCUGUCACCAGUAGGUGGUUUGCUAAAUACUUGAAAAGAGAAGGCAAUUUCAGGUGAGGCCAAUAGAAGAAAGGAACCUGAGGGUGGUUAGAAGGAGAUGAAGUGGAUAGAGAGGGAUGUUGUUGUUAAAAUAUAAAAAUAAAAAAAGUAUUGGUGUCUUUUACCUCCCUGGGUCCUGCACUGCGGUGCCCAAGGUAUCUGCUAGAUAUCUUGGC